GGACAACAGUUGGAAACGACUGCUAAUACCGCAUAAGACCGCAUGGUAAAAGAUUUAUCGCUUUAGGAUGGACUCGCGUCCAAUUAGCUAGUUGGGGAGGUAACGGCCCACCAAGGCGACGAUUGGUAGCCGGACUGAGAGGUUGAACGGCCACAUUGGGACUGAGACACGGCCCAGACUCCUACGGGAGGCAGCAGUGGGGGAUAUUGCACAAUGGGGGAAACCCUGAUGCAGCGACGCCGCGUGGAGGAAGAAGGUUUUCGGAUUGUAAACUCCUGUCGUUAGGGACGAUAAUGACGGUACCUAACAAGAAAGCACCGGCUAACUACGUGCCAGCAGCCGCGGUAAAACGUAUGGUGCAAGCGUUGUCCGGAAUUACUGGGUGUAAAGGGAGCGCAGGCGGGAAGACAAGUUGGAAGUGAAAACCAUGGGCUCAACCCAUGAAUUGCUUUCAAAACUGUUUUUCUUGAGUAGUGCAGAGGUAGAUGGAAUUCCCGG
rnacentral:rRNA from 1 species